CACCGUCUUCAGAAACUCAAUAUAUGAGUUAAAGAUACUGAAUUACAUAGAGUCAGAUGAACUGUUUCUGGAAUCAUAGGGCUCAUAUUUGAAGGUAAGUCUUACUGUCAGUGGAUUAUUUGUGUGUGUGUGUGUACAUACACACAUACUCAUAUAAACACAUACCCAUGCUAUUGAGCAAUAAGCAUGAAGAAUUGACUACUCUUGCUCCCAUUUCUUCUAGUUGUCACCUCAAUGGCCACUACUGUUUGUUCUACAACGGCUUAUACGACAGAGGAGAGCAUUGUCACUACUACUAAGGCUACAACAGCUUCCCCAACAGAGCACAGUGAUGUCCCUGUUAUUAUUCCCAGAAAAGCUUGUCUGAAAGAUGAAACAUCCCCUCUGCAGCUGCAGCUCAGCAACGUCUCUGCCUAUUACACCUACCUCCUCCUCCUCC